CCCCUCCUUCCCUCCUCGCCGCCUCCCUCAUUUCCUUAGUUGGCAGGCACCUGAGCAGAGUCAUUUGCUCUUCAAAAAUGACGACUGGGCUGUCGUUGCUGUUGUUUUUCUUCUUCUUACCCCCCUUCAGCCCCCCCCAACCACGUUCUUCUCCUUGUUCUGCCGCUGCUGCUGCUUCUCCUUUUCCUCCUAAAAGAAACCUGCAGGUCUUGCUUGCAUGACUAAUUAUUUGAACCGGAUAUACCCUCCAUUAAUAGAGGAAGGAAAUAAUAAAUUUGUUUUCUAAGGGCCUCUUAGCUGAAGAUGGCUAUUACCUCACUUGAUCUUUCCAGCAGCCUGGAAGGUUCCGGAGGGCAGCCACAGACUUCCUGACUUCAGAGGCUAGGCUGGAGCCCAAGAAGGCUCUGUGGACCCCGGGCGGAGCUCAUCUCUGGUGGUGAUGCCAGCAGGGCGGCUGUGCCCGGGCGUCAGCGGCCGUGCUUGUGGACCAGCUGAGUGGGACCAGCGCCACUCCAAGGCCGGGACAGUGUCUCCAAGGCUCAGGAACUACCUUGGCUGGGGUGUGCUGGCCUGCUCAGCCAAUGUGCUUCCUUUUUGAAUGUGUUUCUUGAAAAACAAGCUUUUUGAUGUUGAAAAAAAAAAAAACUAUGAUUUUUAGAAUGUUGAUUUGAGAUAAAGCAAAGAAGGUGACAUGCUCUGCAGAUAGUUAUAGAAAGCUGUGAAAGAACCACAAAUAAUUUUCUCUAACUGCAGCAUUAAUUGUCCGGUACAAGGAAGCCACCAUUAGGAUUCAUUUGAGUGUUGUCAAAUUCCCCAAAAGAUAAGCAUUAAAAAGGAUUAAAAUAAUUUCAUAUGA